UGUUUUAUAUCAUGCACUCACCACGCAUGCCAUGUAUUCACAUGAAUGAAAGACAUUGCUUUAUGGUAUAACUGCUCUACUUGCACAAAUUGUUAAGUCUUUGUUACAUUUUAAUUAAGCUAUUACUAUAUUUAAUAUAUUGUGUUUAACCUUAGUAUUAUUCUGUGUUUCUUCAUAUUUUACGGAGUUGAACGUCAUGAAUAUAUCUCACUUGUUUUGCCUAUUAUCACUACUAUUAUUGUUUAGUGUUUCUUCAUAUGUGCAUAUCAUUAUUAAGUUUAUUCAUAUCAUUAUAUCAAUAUACAAUUCUGAUAAUGCAUAAGUUCAUAAAACUGCAAUGUUAUGCCUGCAAUGGUACUUAAUGUGUGCACCUGCAUUGUUUCCUAUCUCCACAUAAUCUUGUUUGUCGUGUUGUUUUAUAUUCAUCUGAUCAUUAGAUCAGGGGAAGCAAAUAGUUCUGUAUUCAUUUCACAUGUUUUACAAAUUUGCUUAUAGUUUGUCUCAA
rnacentral:lncRNA from 1 species